UACCAGCACCCCGAGUGGUCGGGACGAUUAUUGGGCCUAAAGCAUCCGUAGCCGGUUCUGCAAGUCCCCCGUUAAAUCCAGCUGCUCAACAGAUGGGCCGCGGAGGAUACUACAGAGCUAGGAGGCAGGAGAGGCAAGCGGUACUCGAUGGGUAGGGGUAAAAUCCGUUGAUCCAUUGAAGACCACCAGUGGCGAAGGCGGCUUGCCAGAACGCGCUCGACGGUGAGGGAUGAAAGCUGGGGGGAGCAAACCGG
rnacentral:rRNA from 1 species